rnacentral:rRNA from 1 species
AUUGAACGCUGGCGGCGUGCUUAACACAUGCAAGUCGAGCGGCAGCGCGGGAGCAAUCCUGGCGGCGAGCGGCGAACGGGUGAGUAAUGCUUCGGAAUCUGCCCUUCAGUGGGGAAUAACCAGUCGAAAGACUGGCUAAUACCGCAUACGAACUGAGGUUGAAAGCAGGGGAUCGCAAGACCUUGCGCUGAUGGAUGAGCCGAAGUCGGAUUAGCUUGUUGGUGGGGUAAUGGCCUACCAAGGCGACGAUCCGUAGCUGGUCUGAGAGGACGACCAGCCACACUGGGACUGAGACACGGCCCAGACUCCUACGGGAGGCAGCAGUGGGGAAUAUUGGACAAUGGGGGCAACCCUGAUCCAGCGACGCCGCGUGUGUGAAGAAGGCCUGCGGGUUGUAAAGCACUUUUAGUGGGGAGGAAGGUCUGCGACCUAACACGUCGUGGAAUUGACUUAACCCACAGAAAAAGCACCGGCUAACUCUGUGCCA